GAUGAACGCUAGCGGCAGGCUUAACACAUGCAAGUCGAGGGGCAGCAUGAGACGGAGAUUCGUCGAAGUCUUGAUGGCGACCGGCGCAAGGGUGCGUAACGCGUGAGCAACUUGCCCGUUUCUGGGGAAUAACCGGUGGAAACGCCGACUAAUACCCCAUAGCAUAUUUAGGAGGCAUCUCUUGAAUAUUAAAGAAUUUCGGAAGCGGAUAGGCUCGCGUGACAUUAGCUAGAUGGCGGGGUAACGGCCCACCAUGGCGACGAUGUCUAGGGGUUCUGAGAGGAAGGUCCCCCANACUGGAACUGAGACACGGUCCAGACUCCUACGGGAGGCAGCAGUGAGGAAUAUUGGGUCAAUGGUCUGACGACUGAACCAGCCAUGCCGCGUGAAGGUGACGGCCCUAUGGGUUGUAAACCUC
rnacentral:rRNA from 1 species